rnacentral:rRNA from 1 species
CCUACGGGGUGCACCAGUGAGGAAUUUUGCGCAAUGGGCGAAAGCCUGACGCAGCAACGCCGCGUGGGUGAUGAAGGCCUUUGGGUCGUAAAGCCCUGUCAAGUGGGAAGAACCCGCAUGGUGCGAAUAAUGCCAUGCGCUGACGGUACCACUGAAGGAAGCACCGGCUAACUCCGUGCCAGCAGCCGCGGUACUACGGGGGGUGCAAGCGUUAUUCGGAAUUAUUGGGCGUAAAGGGCGCGUAGGCGGCCGUUUAAUUCAGAUGUGAAGGCCCGGGGCUUAACCUCGGAAGUGCAUUUGU